CGGAAAGCAUUGUCUUUCUCUAGUUUUGCAUCUGCCGUCUCCGACGAGGCGACGAGGCGGCGGGUGGCGGCGCCUCCGCCGGCGUACGGCUGCCCGGACGCUUUCGUCUCCGGUGCUCGCCUAAUGUGACAGGGAUAUGCAGCUAGGUUUUGAGUUGUUAUCGUGUUCCCACUGACACUACUUUAUGAUCAUAAGAAACAUCAAUAGCAAUACUUCCUGAUACCAGCCCAAUAGAAGGAGAUGAUGAAGCCAACUACAAAAGAAACUGUUGCAACCCAUGUAGUUGACCUGAAGUCAUCUUCAGUGCUAGCCAUAUUGUAUUGACUGUCAGAGUCUUCUGUACAUAUUGUGAGACCUGGAUUGCCAGAUACAUCAACCUUUACCCCUCUAGGCAACUCAGGCAUGGGGCCAGAGAGCUGGUUAUAGCAAAGAGACAAGUAGAUCAAUCCCUUCAGGUUUGCAAACGAGGAUGGCACCUGACCGGACAAGUGGUUGUCUGAAAGAUCAAGUAACAGCAAGUUACUUAAAGCUCCAAUGCUGGAUGGAAUAGACCCCUGGAGAUGGUUGUGACUUAGUAUAAGAGCACCGAUUUUGGUUGGCAUUGUAGGAAUGGUUCCUGUCAGCUGAUUGUUCCCGAGAUCGAGGGUGCUGAGAAACUGCAGAGAGCUGAUCGAAGGUGGGAUCACACCACUGAAAUUGUUGCCAUGUAAAUCGAGAUAACAGAGCUUGGACAAUAGGACCAAUGUUGAAGGUAUCUCUCCAGAGAAUGAGUUCGCACUAAGGUUAAGUACUUCCAUAUUUGUCAUACCAGAAAAUAUUCUUGGGAUAUAUCCACUGAAAUUGUUGGUUUGGAGCUUGAUGACCUCAAGUUGCUGAAGAUUUCUCAGCUCAUCAGGGACAACACCUUGCAGCUUGUUUGUUGACAGAUCCAUGAGCACCAUGUUAUUGCAUUUGCCGAGUUGUGAGGGUAUAGGUCCACUUAGCUGAUUGUCAUCCAACUCCAGGUAAGCCAAUCUGAUGGCAUUACCUAUUGAUUCAGGGAUGCUCCCGCUUAGCAAGUUGCAACCGAGUCUCAGGUGGUAGAGGCUCCGAGAGAAAUUCCCAGGAAUGAGCCCUUCAAGCCUAUUGGCAGUGAGGUCAAUGGUCUCCAAACUAUCUGGUGAGAGGAGAUCAGAGGGCAUCUCACCAUUGAGCAUGUUGUAACUCAAAUCCAACAUUCUAAUGUUCUUGGUGAUUCCUUGAGGAAUUGAGCCAGAAAGUUUGUUCUCAUUACUUGCAAACCGAAACAAUGUGGUGACAUUCAGCAAGCUCUGUGGAAUUUUCCCUGUCAGGUUGUUUUCUGAAAGGAGCAAAAUCCUGAGUUUUGGGAAGCUCAAGAAGCCAUCUGGGACGUCAUCAACUAGAUUAUUCUGGCUUAGGUCCAACAGAGUAAUAUUCCCAUAUCUGAACAAACCCAUCGGAAUUCUACCACUGAAAUUAUUACCGGAGAACACCAGUUCUUCCAAAGAGGUAACCAUGCUUGUAGGGAUAGGGCCUUCAAAGCCAUUGGAACUAAGGUUCAAGCUUCUCAGUUUUGGCAAAUAAUUCAGCUGGGUACUUAUGUUGUCAUUUAAAGAGUUGAAGGACAAAUCAAGAACCUCUAGCUCAUGAAAACCGGAGAAAUUGCCAAGAUGACUGGAUAGCCUAUUGUAGCUGAGAUCGAGCACUUGCAAUUCUGCCUUCAUGGGGCAAGGAGAGAAUUGGCUUGGCAAGUCAGUGAAGGAGUUUCUAGAGAGAUUAAGGGAGUGUAAUGUAUCAAGAAGGCAUAUAGAUGCAAGGAUGGUGGCAUUGGAGAGGCCAUAUCCGGGGAGGGAGAGCCUGGUGACAAAAGAAGAGGAUGCAGCAGAAGUGCAAUGAACCCCACUCCAUUCGCACGGAUUUGAGCUGGUGUUCCAGCUCUUGGUGAGAGAUGAAUCCAUGGCACUACUGACCAAGCCCAGGAUAUCUCGCAUGAUGUUCUCUUGUGCCUUGUUCAGUUGCAUUGGCGAUUUCUCGGUGGCCGCAGCCAUCGACACGCUCAGAAGAAAGGUCAGAAACAGCAAGCACAGGCUGCUACUGCUAGCAGGAGCGCGGUGCCGACUGAUCACCUCCAUGGCUACUUCUCAGUUCUCUCUCCACUCUCCUCGGCAACUCUGUCGAUUCAAGAUAUCGACUGGUUACAUCUGAAGUACACUGGUGCAAUUUUCAGUUAGUUGCUUAUGUGAAGUUGUGAAUUAUACAUAUAUAGAGAUUGCAUUAGAGGGAAAUGCCAAAGAGUCAUCCAGGAAGGGGUCAAAAGUUUGCUUUCACCACUUUACCUUGUGUGACACUGUAAAUUUUUUUAUGGCGUGUGAAUGGAGCAGAGCAGAGAACACUCACCGUUCAGUGUGACUUGCACUGAUUUCACCUGGCAGAUGGAUCCAUUCAGGAUGUUGUGGCCGUCGGCAUCACAUUUGACACCAGCACUGGCUUAGCCUUUGUCCCUUUUUACUGGGCUUGUGGCUACUGAAAUAAUUUGAGCUGGUUUGGAGGAACGGUCAAGAUAAGAGAUGACUUGCAAAGAAACGGGUGAAAAGGCACCAUAAAGAUGAUAUCAAUAUUUACCUUUUCAAAAGAACUCCAUACUAUCAGGUUGCCCUUUCAUGGAAGGAGCAAAAUCCUGAGUUGUGGAAGCUCAAGAAGCCCGUCUGGGACGUCACCAACUGGAGUAGAUUAUUCUGGCUGAGGUCAUCCAAGAGAGGAACAUUUUUUUUAAAAAAAAAGUUAGAACUUUCAUUGCUCACUACUCUCUUGGUAAAAAAAAAAAAGGCCUAGGUUAGAUUUUUCUGGGACGGAGGCAGUUGAGAUAUGCAAGAGAGGAAGAUUUCCAUA